rnacentral:rRNA from 1 species
CCGUGAUAAAGUAGCAUAAUCACUCGUCAUUUAAUUGGUGACUGGAAUGAAUGGUUACACGAAUCUUUAACUGUCUCAAGAAGAAAGUUCAAUUAAUUUGAAAAAACAGUGAAGAUGCUGUUAACAAAAUUGUAAGACGAAAAGACCCUUUCGAGCUUUACUAUAAGCUUAUAGAAAAAAUCUUUAAUAAAAAUAUAAUAAAAACAAACUGUAAGCUAGUUAGUUUGGUUGGGGCGACCACCUCUAAAACAGUAUCAGAGGAAAUCUAAAGGUAUAAUAGUAAUAUUAAUUGCCUUACUGUAUACAAACAAGUUAAUCAGUUACUACUAUGUAGGAUAUAAUGACCCGUUGAAUUAAUUUCAAAAUUCAACGACCAUGAAAAAAGUUACCGUAGGGAUAACAGGGUAAUAUUAUCAAAGAGUUCAUAUCGAUGAUGAU